UACGUAGGGUGCAAGCGUUAAUCGGAAUUACUGGGCGUAAAGCGUGCGCAGGCGGUCUUGCAAGACAGAUGUAAAAUCCCCGGGCUCAACCUGGGAACUGCAUUUGUGACUGCAAGGCUGGGGUACGGUAGAGGGGGAUGGAAUUCCGCGUGUAGCAGUGAAAUGCGUAGAUAUGCGGAGGAACACCGAUGGCGAAGGCAAUCCCCUGGACCUGUACUGACGCUCAUGCACGAAAGCGUGGGGAGCAAACAGG
rnacentral:rRNA from 1 species